rnacentral:rRNA from 1 species
GCAGGCGAGAAACCUGCACAAUGUGGGAAACCACGAUGCGGGAACUCCAAGUGCCUACACUAUGUGUAGGCUGUUCUCGAGCCUAAAAAGCUCGAGAAGUAAGGGCCGGGUAAGACGGGUGCCAGCCGCCGCGGUAAUACCCGCGGCCCGAGUGGUGCUCAUUAUUAUUGAGCCUAAAGCGUCCGUAGCUGGCCGGGCAAAUCUCCGGGGAAAUCGGGCCGCUCAACGGUCCGAAGGCCGGAGACACUGCUCGGCUUGGGAUCGGGAGAGGGUGAAGGUACUCCCUGGGUAGGGGUAAAAUCCUGUAAUCCGGGGGGGACCACCAGUGGCGAAGGCGUUCACCUAGAACGAAUCCGACAGUGAGGGACGAAGCCCUAGGGCGCAAACGGGAUUAGAUACCCCCGUAGUCC